AGACAGGGUUUCUCUGUAAGCCCUGGCUGUCCUGGAACUCCCUCUGUAAACCAGGCCUGGCCUUGAACUCACAGAGAUCCUCCUGCCUCAGCCUCCCAAGUGCUGGAUUAAAGGCAUGUGCUGCUACCACCCUGGCAAACAAGGCAAUUCUUAUAAAGGAAAACAUUUAAUUGAGGCUGGAUUACGGUACAGAGGUUUAGUCCAUUAUCGUUAUGGCGGCACGCAGACAGACAUGGUGCUGGAGAGGUAGCUGAGAGGUCUACAUCCAGACUGGCAGGCAGCAGGAAGAGAGAGAGACACUGGGCCUGGCUUAGGCUUCUGAAAUCUGAAAGCCCACUUCCCAGUAACACACUUCCUCCAACAAGGCCGCACCUCCCAAUAGUGCCAUUCCUUGUGAGCCUGUGGGAGCAUUUUUAUUCAGACCAGCACACUACUCUGCUUCUGUGUUACAUUAUGAGACCCUUGAAUAUGGAAACUGUCCACAUUACAUCAUAUUAAGUCAUUCUAUAAACUUAUUUCAUCUCAGACAUUCUGCUAAGGGACAGGGAAUUGUCAUAGAGUGAAACCAGACAUGUUUAGGGUUUAAUACAGGAAAUAACCACACUGAAUUCAAAACUGAGAAAUAUAAAUAUAAGAAACAUAAUCCUAUGAGAGUAAUAAAUGCUAGUUAGGAAAAAAUCUCUCCAAAGAAAAUGCAGUGACCUGAGAACUGAGGAAUUAGUAUGAAUUAGACAAAAGAGGCCACUGAAGACAUUCUUUGUAGAUAAAUGUGAGAAACCAUUCUUGGGCCAGAGAAAUCAUCACACUCAUUUGUUAAAAACGGGCUUCAUUUUUUUAAAAAGUGUCCUUCAAAGAUGUUUGAGAAGCAUUUCAGUGAUGAAUAGAUCAGCACCACACCUUCAAAUGUAUUCAUUACUUUUCUCUUGCUGUGGUGGUUUAAAUGAUAAUGGCCUCUGUAGGCUCAUAUAUUUGAAUGCUUGGUCACCAAGGAGUGGAACUGUUUAAAAAGAUUACAAGGAUUAGGAGGUGUGGCCUUGCUGGAAGAGGUGUGUCACUGGGGGUGAAACUGAGGUUCCAAAAAGCCAUGCCAGGUACAAUCUCCCCCUCUUUCCUUCCCCUCCCUCCCACUCCCCCACCUGACUCUCUGCCUGCACAUCAGGAUGUAACUCUCAGCUACUGCUCCAACACCAUGAGCACCACCAUGCUCCAGCCAUAACCCCCCACACACAAUAAUGGACUAAACAUCUGAAACUAUAAGCAAGCCCCUAAUUAAAGUCUCUUUUAUAAGAGUUGCCUUGAUCAUGGUGUCUGUUCACAGCAACAGAGCAGUGACUGAGACAGUUGCUAUGACAAGUUACCUAACAAAGAUGACUUCAAGGAAAGGCUUAUCCUGGCUUACCGUUUGCAUGCAUUGUCCAUCAUGGUGGGGAAGUCAUAGUGACAGACAUGUGAAGCAGCUGGUCACAUGGUUUCUAUAGUCAGAAAGGAGAGAGAGAUGAAUACUGGUGCUUAGCUUGCUUUCUUGUUUUUACUUAGUCCUGGAACAGUGCUGCCCACAUUCAGAGUUAAGUUUUCCUCCCUUCCUCCCUUCUAAAUGUAUCAUAGACACAAGCAAAAGUGUUUCCCUGGUAACUCUAAAUUUAGUCAAAUUGACAGUGAGGAUUAGCCAUCAGAAUAAAGGACCGUAGAGUACAUAGUACUGAGAGAGCAAACAUCGACUGAGUGAGAGGGUCUACAAAGGCAAGGCUAUUCAGGGACUAAGUGGAUUGUGUAGGAAAUUAGGAAACCAUCAAAGGGAUUUUAAUUUGAUGGUGACUUAACAAGAUUGGUAAAUUGAAAAUUGUACUCUAGAUAUAAAUCCCAAGCAAAGAUUAGGAUGUUUCAAAGUAGAUAGGAUACUCCCAAAUUAAUUAGAGGUUUUUGCAGAUAAAAGAAACUAAAACUGGCGUAUUGGACCAGGAUAGUGUAAUAGAAGUAGAGAGUGAGUUGGAGGAACAGUAGAAUACACUUCCUGGAGCUGGACUGAGCAUUAGGAGGAAGAAGUUACUUGGUAUUUACAGCUGAAUGGUAGUGGCAUUCAUUCACUAGAGUGUUAAUGUAUUUGGAGUAGUUAGGGAGGUUGGAAGAUCAUUUGGUUUAGUACUUCCUGAAUUUCUGAUGUCUUUGAGUCAUCGAAGCAGCUUCUAAAUAGAAGUAUGGAUCUGGGGACAGGCUCCUUUGGGCAGAAAGGAUUUAUAUUAGCUCCAUUCCAGGUUACAGUCUAUUACUACUGGGAGGUCGCAGCAGCAGAAGCUUGAGAGAGCUGAUUAAUCACUUCCAAAACAGAAAGCUGGUGAGUGUAUAGGGAAAGAUUAAACUCCUGAGUAUACAUGAAACUGACUUGGAAUAGCUUAAGUCCUAAGUAGAGGAAGAUGAGCUAGAAGAGCUGGGGUUCCCAGGGGGUAUUAUGCUCGACAAGACAAAUGACUCCAUGCUUCAAGGAAGGAGCCAUAAAUAAACAAUGUCAAAUGCCAUUGUGAAGUCAUGUGAAACAAGGCCUGGAAAAUGUCCAUUGGGUUUAGUGACGUGAUGGUCAUCAGUUACCACAAGAACUGUUUUGUUGAGCAAUAUGGCCUUAAGAUAGAUUGAAAUGGGGGCUGGAGAGAUGGCUCAGAGGUUAAGAGCACUGCCUGCUCUUCCAGAGGUCCUGAGUUCAAUUCCCAGCAACCACAUGGUAGCUCACAACCAUCUGUAAUGAGAUCUGGUGCCCUCUUCUGACCUGCAGUCAUACAUGCUGUAUACAUAAUAAAUAAAUAAAUAAAUAAAUAAAUAAAUAAAUAAAUAAAUAAAUAAAUAAAAAGAUAGAUUGAAAUGGAAUGUGGUAGGUGAUAAAUAAAUGGAAUGAAUCUAAAUUCCUCACAGGAUUUGACUUUUAAUUGGGAGGGAAUAUAUCUCUUUUGUUAUUUUAAAUAUGUAGAUGUGUCCUCGUGUGGGUAUGUGCACAUGAAUGGCACACGGGAACUGCAGCUGUGAACCUUGGAACUGCUGCUGUGAACCAUCUGACACGGGUGUUGGGAACUGAACUUGUAUCAGCGAAAGUAGUGAGUGAAUGCUCUUCACCCCUGAGCAACCCCUUCAACCUGGAAGAUAUUCUUUUUUGCCUUUGAGGAUUUUGACUUAUUUGCUUUGAUAAAAGGCUUAAGGUGUUCCAAAGACAGUUAUGGACAGUUGUGAGCUGCCAUAUGGGUGCUGGGAAUAGAACCUGGGUCCUCUGGAAGAACAGCCUGUGUCUUAACCACUGAACUAUCUCUCCAGCCCCUUCCUUUCUUCCUUUUAAUAACUUUGCUUUUCACCCUAUAACCCAGGCUGGCCUCAAACUCAUGAUCUCCUGCCUUAGCCUACUGAGUACUGGGAUUACAGCACAUACAACCAUUCCUACUUCUAGCUGGUAAUAAUCUUUUGAGAUGAGGUUGAGAUGAGGUUGAAUAUAUGAGAGAAGAGUUGGAUAUAAGAAUUUUCUGCAAAGACUGAAACAUAUUAAUCACUGGAGAAAGUAAAUAAAUGAAUUUUAAGUCUGAUUAAAGCAAAUAUGUAGCCGGGCAGUGGUUGUGCAUGCCUUUAAUCCCAGCACUCGGGAGGCAGAGGCAGGCAGAUCUCUGUGAGUUCGAGGCCAGCCUGGUCUACAGAGUGAGUUCCAGGAAAGGCACAAAGCUACACAGAGAAACCCUGUCUCAAAAAAAAAAAAAAAGCAAAUAUGUUUCCUGUAUUUUUAAAAUGAACUGAACAACAACUAGCAUUGUUUAUAGUUACAGGAUAUGGGUGGCCUGGUGAUCUGAAAGAGAUACCCUCCAUAAGUCUCAGGCAUUUGAAUACUUGGUCCCCAGUUGGUGGCUGUUGAGGAAGCAUUAGGAGGGGGUAAGGUACUGUAGAAGGAGGUGUGUCCCUGGGGGUGGAGUUCUAAGUCUGAAAGCCCAUGCCAUCCCCAGUUAUCUCCUUCUGCCUCCUGACUCUCAGUGGCAGCUCCAGCCAACUGCUGCAUGCCUCUUGCUGUGCCAUCACAGACCCUAACCCUCUGAGAUAACCACUUUAUCCUAUAAAUUGCCUUGGUUAUGGUGUUCUGUCUCAGUAGACAAGUAGCUAAUACAGAUGCUCACUUAACGGCUAAGAGAUUCUGUGAGCUCUCUAGUCCCCCACUAAUACAUGUACUUCCAGAAAGACUAGUAUUUUUUAAUUGUGCCAAAAUUUAGAGCUACCUGAAAUGCUUUGCAAUAAAUUGUUCAAGCCCUACCUCAAACUCAAAGGAGUCUGUUCCCCUGGCGGAGGUAGAGCCCUCCCCUUGCCCCUCUGCAAGUGCAUUCUUUUAAAGCUCCCCAGGGUGAGUCUAAGUGCCACUGGUCUUGAGAAACACUGAUGUCACCCUCAUAACAACAGCACUGACUGCAAUAACUUAGUGUUUAGGUGAAGUAUGGAGAGGCCAGGAUACUACUUACAAACAGCAGUUCUUUUCUUUUCUUUUUUUUUUUUUUUGGUUCUUUGAGACAGGGUUUCUGUGUGGCUUUCGUGCCUGACCUGGAGCUUGCUCUGUAGACCAGGCUGGCCUCAAACUCACAGAGAUUCAUCUGGCUCUGCCUCCAGUGCUGGGAUUAAAGGUGUGGGCCACCGCCACCCAGCCUAAACAGUGUUUUUUUGUUUGUUUGUUUUUGUUUUGUUUGUUUUUGUUUUUGUUUUUUGAGACAGGGUUUCUCUGUGUAGCUUUGGCACCUUUCCUGGAACUCACUCUGUAGCCCAGGCUGGCCUCGAACUCACAGAGAUCCACCUGCCUCUGCCUCCCAAGUGCUGGAAUUAAAGGCCUGUGGCACCACUGCCUGGCUUCAAACAGUGGUUCUUAACAGCAGUUAGAAGACAAAUUUUAUCCCCAUGAGGGCUAAGUGGCAAAAAUCUGGGAACAUCUGUGGUUGUCAUGGCAGAUGAGUCUCAUAUAUUAAUGUGAGUUAAUAUGCUGAUAUAUAGUAGUUUGAAGACAAGGGUGCUUCUGGAGAUCCUACAGUGUGUCAGUCAGCUGCUUUUUUUCCCCUUAACAAAAGCUCCAGUGCCAUGCCUGCCUGCCACAAUGUUUCCCACCAUGAUGACCAUGGACUAACCCUCUGAAACUGUAAGCAAGCCCCCAAUUAAAUGCUUAUCUUUUAUAAGUUGCCUUGGUCAAAAGCCUUCUCUGAAGUAUAGCUGAUUAUUCCCUAUAUUUUAAAAAAUAAAAAUAAACAUAAAAGUCAAUUUUAAGCUACUUCAAGUCUUCUGUCUUACAUGCCUAGCUACAUGCAGGAAAUAUGUAUGUCUAAAGAAUUAUUUAGAGAAAAGAAAUAUUGGAUUUAGAUCCAAGCUUUGCACUCCAUCUUCUUCUGUCAUUAGUUAAAUGACAGUCAACAAGUCGAUUACUUGGGGAAUUUUUGUGAUUAUGGAAAUAGGUGUUAAGUGACUUGGGACAAAUAGAAAACUUUUCACUGGGGAUUUUAGCCUUGAUUAACACCCUUACACUAAGAAAAUUCUAUACACAUUUGGAGUUCAACCUCAGCCACAACAUAUGAACUAGAAGACCAAACUUUAACUUUUGCUAGAUGAACUAUUGGUCCUAUCUGGAUCAAACAGGUUGUCCUGAUUUUAUAAAAUCAGGACUGAGAAAUGUUUGUCAGGUUGUUAUCAUUUGAACUAGAAACACAUAAACUUAGGCCAGGGCUGCCUUGUGUGAUAGCAUGUGGGAGGUGGAGAAUCAGGGUCUGUGUGGAAGAGGAGGCAGUACAGCCCAUGUCAUAGUCCUACAGUUCUGUGAAGAUGAUUCAGUCUUCUCUCCCUUGCAGAUCAGGAAGCUGAGACUCUUAAAGGACAUGUGGAAGCUGAAGAAACCCAGGCAGUUUUACUAAAGUCUGUGCUUUCGUGAAGCACAUAUCAAACACAAUAUAACAGCUACACCAGUUCCUGACCUCCAUCCUUUGAGAAGAGCCCACAGUUGAAAGACUUUGGACUUUUAAAGAGACAUUGGAUGUUUUAAAGAGACUGAACUUUUUAAAGACAGUGGGACUUUUAAAAUUAUGCUUGAAGCUGUCUGUCGGUCUCAGCAGGUAAGAUGUGGACAGCAGAAAGCAACAGAAGAAACAGCUGGAUGAGGUGCAGAGGGAAGUUCUGCUAUGCCCAGGGGAAUUCUGGAGAAGCUCUGGGAUAACUCUAUGGAAAAUAAACCAAGUGAGACACGAGGAAAUCUGCAACGGUUUAUGAACAAAGGGUGCCAGAAUGUUCUAUGUACUGCAAAGUCAAUUUCAAAUGUACACUCAAGACACUGUCCAGCAACUGGAACCGUGGUGAAUCAUCACAUAAAACCUGUAAUGAGCUUAAUAUUCACAGGCCACAUGUUGGGCAAUCGUCCUUGAUAUAUGGCCUCAUUAUGACAUCAUUCUCUUUAAGAACAGCUUUGUUUUUGGAAAACACUCCAGAAUGAUUUGCGGUCAUUUUUUGUGUCAAAUCAGUGCAGAUGUCUCUGGUGGUAACACUGAAUGCCUUCUUAAAGACUAUCACUGCAGAUGAAAUUAGUUGUACUCUGAAGUUUAAGCUCCGGAUGCAACUGGAGCUUGAGAGUUCAAGGUGCAGAGCAGAGUUUUAUAGAGGCUUAAUUGUUCUUCCCCACAGAGUGUAGACAAUCAGGAUUUCUGUUCUUCACACUUACCUCUGAGGCAGCUACUAUUAGUGGACUUUGUAUUUUUUUUUUCUUUCCGAGACAGGGUUUCCCUGUGUAGUACUGGCUGUCCUGGAACUCACUCUGUAGACCAGGCUGGCCUCGAACUCACUGAGAUUCACCUGCCUCUGCCUCCCUGAGUGCUGGGAUCAAAGGCAUGCACCACCACCACCCGGCUAAAUUUUUUUGUAUUUUUUUGGGGGGGGUGUGGCGGGGUUAUUAGUAGACUUUAAAAAGUCAACUCAUUUUAUAACUCAAACUAGUUUAAAUUUGAUAUUGCAAAUAUUUUAGAUAUUUGAUAUUUAGUAAAUAUUUUAGAUAUUUAGUAAUUUCUCUUUUAGUUUUAAAAGUUUUGUAUUAUUCAUUAAUGUCACAAAGGGGAUGGGGUCUGCAGUUCAGAGUCAGCAGCAGAUUAGUAUGCAUGGGGCUUUGCA